GUAGGGUGCAAGCGUUAAUCGGAAUUACUGGGCGUAAAGCGUGCGCAGGCGGUUCGGAAAGAAAGAUGUGAAAUCCCAGGGCUUAACCUUGGAACUGCAUUUUUAACUACCGGGCUAGAGUGCGUCAGAGGGGGGUGGAAUUCCGCGUGUAGCAGUGAAAUGCGUAGAUAUGCGGAGGAACACCGAUGGCGAAGGCAGCCCCCUGGGAUGACACUGACGCUCAUGCACGAAAGCGUGGGGAGCAAAC
rnacentral:rRNA from 1 species